rnacentral:lncRNA from 1 species
UGCGAAUCACUCAGCCUGGCUGGCUGCCGACGCAGCGCAGCCCUGCUCGUGAAGCCUGCCACGCAUUCCAGAAAACCAAAAAAUUAGAGGCCUGAUAAGAUAACCAGACACACUCAAGCCCCAAUCAAGAUGCCAGCGGUGGCGGUGGCAAUGGUGGCAGGGGACUCCGACUCCUGGGACCCAGACACUGUGGAAGACCCAUGAAAAACAGAAGCAAGCAAGGCAAAGCAAAGUCAAAAAGCCAAAGGAAGCCGUGGUUCCUGGAGGAAGAUUAAAGACCACCACGAAGGAUGAUCUUGCAGAUUAUGAUGGCUG